GACGAACGCUGGCGGCGUGCUUAACACAUGCAAGUCGAACGGAAAGGCUCCAGCUUGCUGGAGUACUCGAGUGGCGAACGGGUGAGUAACACGUGGGUAAUCUGCCCUGCACUCUGGGAUAAGCCUGGGAAACUGGGUCUAAUACUGGAUAUGACCUUUCUCCUUAUGGGGUUUGGUGGAAAGUUUUUCGGUGUAGGAUGAGCCCGCGGCCUAUCAGCUUGUUGGUGGGGUGAUGGCCUACCAAGGCGACGACGGGUAGCCGGCCUGAGAGGGUGAUCGGCCACAUUGGGACUGAGAUACGGCCCAGACUCCUACGGGAGGCAGCAGUGGGGAAUAUUGCACAAUGGGCGGAAGCCUGAUGCAGCGACGCCGCGUGGGGGAUGACGGCCUUCGGGUUGUAAACCUCUGUCAGCAGGGACGAAGCGUAAGUGACGGUACCUGCAGAAGAAGCACCGGCUAACUAUGUG
rnacentral:rRNA from 1 species